UACGUAGGGGGCAAGCGUUGUCCGGAAUCAUUGGGCGUAAAGCGCGCGUAGGCGGCCCGAUAAGUCUGCUGUGAAAGUCCAGGGCUCAACCCUGGAAUGCCGGUGGAUACUGUCGGGCUAGAGUUCGGAAGAGGCAAGUGGAAUUCCUGGUGUAGCGGUGGAAUGCGCAGAUAUCAGGAGGAACACCUAUAGCGAAGGCAGCUUGCUGGGACGACACUGACGCUGAGGCGCGAAAGCGUGGGGAGCGAACAGG
rnacentral:rRNA from 1 species